UUCACCCUGCUCGAUUUCGUAGCUCACUUUGACAGGCCCGGAAUCGUCAGUCACUACUUGCGAUGUUGGUGAUGCUUCUGUAUGAUCACAAACUUAUCUAAGCCAAAUGCCCUAGCGAGCUUCCGCGCUCUCAUCCCUGUUUGCACCACGCGGCAAAUCAACAGCCGACAAGUGGUCUAACACAGGUGGCGCAAUGAGAGCAUGUCUGUAUUAUAUGCAUUAUUAUUUGCGUAAAUCUACCAUAAUAUAGAGGGAUUUUUAGGCCACCAGAUCCAGCCAAUCGCAGUGGUAACUGUAAAGGGAUUAUUUCUUUAACCACGUCUUAGCAAAUAAUCAUGCUUAUGUUUACUCUUGGCAAAUGGGAGGUGGCCAAGUUGCGUGGGAAGUGCUGCGACAUGUGGCACAUACAAUGUGUUGACCGGAUAGCAUCUUUGUUGAAAUUGCUAUCAUCAUCCAAACUUGCAUACAGAUUUUUCUCGAAUUUUAAAUUUUCCUGCAGAAAUUGCCACCGUCGCUCCUGACUUGGAGCAUGCUUUAGAGAAAGGGCACAAGGGCAAUGUGCUCGAGUAAAUGGCCAGUGAAGCUGCAACUCCCAAAUCUCCCAAGUAGAGAUCCCACUCAGAAAUCUCCCGCUCAAUUGCCACAGCAAUCCCCAUGGGAACAAGCGCCAGCAGCAGAUCUGGAGCUUGAUGGGAUGCCUUUCUACAGUCUCACCACCGUCGCUCCUGGCAUUUUCCACCGCUGAUUGAGGGAAAGGGCAUAGCCCUAUAGGAGAGCGAGUAAAUGGCCAGUGAAGCUGCGGCUCCCAGUCCCCGGCGCCAGCAGCAGAUUCGGAGCCACGGACUCUAGAUCCACUCCUGAGCCCCCAGCGGCAGCAAUGGUGCCUCCACCAACGACAACAGAGGUGAGCUUGGCCACUGGAGAGGAGCCGCACUUAGCCUCUCAUACAUUUUUCUUCUUUGUAAUGAUGUAUUGAUUGAUGUAUUGAUGAUGUAUUGGUCGGGCAAUUAUAGUAAUGGCAUGAAAUUUACAUUUUAAA